rnacentral:siRNA from 1 species
GAACGCCAAAUAUAUUACUCCGC